GGCGCCGGGAGGGCCGGGGCGGGCGGCGGGGCCGGUGACUUGCGGCCGCGGGUCUCGGUGCCCGCUCCGGCCUGGAGGUCCGGCCCGCGCCGGCGGGCAGCCCCGCUUUGCGCAGGGGCCCGGCGGGCCGUCAGGGCGGGACCGCGCCGCCCUUGCCUGCCGUGCGGUGCGGGAGCGGGUCCGAGGCUCCCGGUGACAGCCUUACAGGCCGCGACAAACCAGAACGGCUUUUAUAAACGAAAACAAGGGCUCAUGAUCCAGAUGACAGACACGUUAACAACUGGCAUUCUUAGGCUUAGAAUAGGCUUGUGCGGCAAACUCCAAGCUUAAUACUUUAGGCACAAGGAACAGCUUGUCUUUUUUAAGGGCUUCUUACCAGAUUACAGACUUCAGCUACCACAACACGAACUCUAUUACCAUCCAGUUCCUGUUCUCAAAACAUUCCAAGCUGUUUGUGGAAACUGGGCCGACUUAAUCACGUAGCAAUUGCAGUACCUGAUUUGGAGAAAGCUCAGUCCUUGUAUAAAGAUGUGUUAGGAGCACAGGUUAGUGAGACUGUUGCUCUUCCUGAACAUGGUGUCUACACUGUUUUUGUGGAGCUGGGAAAUACCAAGCUGGAACUUCUACAUCCUUUAGGAGAAGAGAGUCCCAUUGCAAGCUUUCUGCAAAAAAACAAGAUUGGAGGAAUGCAUCAUAUCUGCAUUGAGGUUGAUGACAUAAAAGUGGCUAUGACAGAACUGAAGAAAAAAAAGAUACGAAUAUUGAGUGAAGAGCCAAAAAUAGGUGCACAUGGCAAACCUGUGAUUUUUCUUCACCCUAAAGAUUGCCAUGGAGUCCUUGUGGAACUUGAGCAAGCUUGAGCUGUAAUAUUCAUAAAUAAAACAAUAGAUUAGUUGUGAAGUUACUGAGCUGGUGCUGGGAAUAUUGAUGUGAUAUUCACUCUUUACAAGUUCACUGUAGUUGCCAUGGAUUAAGUACAGCUUUUGUGUACUGAAAUUGUGCUACAGAUUUAGGGUUCUUUUUUGUUGGUGGUGAUCUGAUUUUCAGAAUUAAGAUUUACAUUUUUUGAAUUCUCUGUGAUUCUAGAGACAAACACAUAAGCCAAGUAGUAAUUUAUGUUCUGUUGCCUCAUGUUUGCAGCACGAUUUUAGCUCUGUAACCACAGAAACUGUACAAUUUCUAGGUCAACCCACAUUAUUUUGUUCCACAUUUCAGAGCAGAGACCCACUUCUCCGUGACAACAAUAUAGAUUAGAUAUUCACCUUAGAAAAAUUAACAUUGUAUUUUCUGUUUUCACCAUUCACCACCUGUGCUUCACACUGAUUGAUUGGUUCAUGCAAUAAAAAAAUCCUUAUGUUAUUGUA